rnacentral:rRNA from 1 species
GAUGAACGCUGGCGGCGUGCCUAAUACAUGCAAGUCGAGCGAACGGACGAGAAGCUUGCUUCUCUGAUGUUAGCGGCGGACGGGUGAGUAACAUGUGGAUAACCUACCUAUAAGACUGGGAUAACUUCGGGAAACCGUAGCUAAUACCGGAUAAUAUUUUGAACCGCAUGGUUCAAAAGUGAAAGACGGUCUUGCUGUCACUUAUAGAUGGAUCCGCGCUGCAUUAGCUAGUUGGUAAGGUAACGGCUUACCAAGGCAACGAUGCAUAGCCGACCUGAGAGGGUGAUCGGCCACACUGGAACUGGGACACGGUCCAGACUCCUACGGGAGGCAGCAGUAGGGAAUCUUCCGCAUUGGGCGAAAGCCUGACGGAGCAACGCCGCGUGAGUGAUGAAGGUCUUCGGAUCGUAAAACUCUGUUAUUAGGGAAGAACAUAUGUGUAAGUAACUGUGCACAUCUUGACGGUACCUAAUCAGAAAGCCACGGCUAACUACGUG